GGCACUUUGGCAGAGUGGCCUAAUGCGAUGGCCUGCUAUCUCCUUUGGGAAGUCAGCCAUUCCCUUCGGGGGCGUGAGUUCGAAUCUCACAGGUGUCG